CUCCUCUUCCUCCUCUUGCUCCUCUUCCUCUCUGUGUCAUUAUGGACGCAUGCAGAAAUCUAGACGUUUCUCUUGUCCUUUUUCAGCACUUUCGAAAUCGCCUGGAAGUCACGUCGUUCUCGGGUCGGGAUCCAGAUGAAGGGACCGGACUGCUCCUCGAUCACUGUCUUCACCUUGUGAUAGACCUCCUCAAAACUGUCGCCCUCCACCACGGCUGAGAGAGACAGAAAGAGAGAGAAAAACAGUGUUAAUAAUGGGAUGAAUAAUACAAACCAUUGCACUGUUUACUACGGUUUAAUCCAGGGGUCUCCAAACUACGGCCCCCCACAUGUGGAACGACCCUCAGAAUAAUGGCAGAGACUCCACCUCCCUCACGCUCUGGACGCUCGUGCCGUACAGGUGACUGUUGUAUUGCCCCGCCUCGAUGAACCGAUGGCUCUGGAUGUCUUUCUCCAUCUGUUCCCG